rnacentral:rRNA from 1 species
AGGCAGCAGUGGGGAAUAUUGCACAAUGGGCGAAAGCCUGAUGCAGCCAUGCCGCGUGUGUGAAGAAGGCCUUCGGGUUGUAAAGCACUUUCAGCGAGGAGGAAAGGUUACUGGCUAAUAUCCAGUAGCUGUGACGUUACUCGCAGAAGAAGCACCGGCUAACUUCGUGCCAGCAGCCGCGGUAAUACGAGGGGUGCAAGCGUUAAUCGGAAUUACUGGGCGUAAAGCGUACGCAGGCGGUUUGUUAAGCGAGAUGUGAAAGCCCCGGGCUCAACCUGGGAACUGCAUUUCGAACUGGCAAACUAGAGUCUUGUAGAGGGGGGUAGAAUUUCAGGUGUAGCGGUGAAAUGCGUAGAGAUCUGAAGGAAUACCGGUGGCGAAGGCGGCCCCCUGGACAAAGACUGACGCUCAGGUACGAAAGCGUGGGGAGCAAACAGGAUUAGAUACCCUGGUAGUCCACGCCGUAAACGAUGUCUACUCGGAGUUUGGUGUCUUGAACACUGGGCUCUCAAGCUAACGCAUUAAGUAGACCGCCUGGGGAGUACGGCCGCAAGGUUAAAACUCAAAUGAAUUGACGGGGGCCCGCACAAGCGGUGGAGCAUGUGGUUUAAUUCGAUGCAACGCGAAGAACCUUACCUACUCUUGACAUCCUCAGAACUUUCCAGAGAUGGAUUGGUGCCUUCGGGAACUGAGAGACAGGUGCUGCA